ACCACUCCUCGCAAGCCGGGUCUGCUCGCUGACAGCCACCUACCCUGCAGUUAGGUCCUGUCCUUUCUCAGCUGAGACAGGAGGGACAGGUGGCCCAUGCCGGAAGCAGUGGCUGCGGCACAGGAGCAGGGGGGGGAUCCUGGUCCAGAGCCCAGAGCUGCCGUGUGACAAACAGGAGGCCAGGUAUUAACAGGGUAGGAACUGACAUUGUCCCCAGCGGAGCACAAGGACUCCCCGUGACACGGCGGGGACAAUGGGAAGAAUCGGCUUUAUUCGGUGCCCGGGUGGACCUGGGCGCUGUGAACCACGGGGUGAGAUGGGCCAGCCUCCCUCCGGGGCUGAGAGGGGACGGUACGUGCCGAAAACAACGCUGAGCUUCAUGGCUAUCACCUGCUAUAGCGGAUGCUGCCUCUCCUGGCUGAGGCUAAACCGACCAUUUCCACUCGGCGUUACUGCUGCUGUUGAUUAACCGAUUUAUGGGUUUUUUUUAAAAAAGAAACAAUUCAGAAAGUGACGCAUUACUUCUGCCUGUGGACAGAGGGAACAGCUGAAACGUGGGAGUCCAGACUACAGCUGUGUGACUACAGCUUUUAAAAAAAAAAAAAAACCCACAACGCAUAUUUUAGUGAAUAAAAACUACUGAUUCCCUCUGCUGGUGUUAUGGACCUUAUUUACUUACCAAGGUGAUGGUGGUGGUUGUAGUCACCGGACUAUCUGUGAAAAGUGAGAGAAGCAGGAGAAGCCAUGACCUCUUCACAAC